UCUGAAAAAAGGAAGGAUAUGGUUUCUGAAGACUUGUAGCCUGCGCAGUCCACAUUCUUUUAUCCCACCUUUGCAUGUUCAAAGCGUGUCGGUACAAAACAGCCAAUAUUCUAUAUGCCCUAAUUCUUUGAGUGGAAUGUGUGCGAUAUCAGGAACUGCUGGACUUAAAAUAGUGAUAAUAUCUUUGCUUUUAUUGUUAAUAUACAUUUUGCAGUAUACUACCGUUCUAAAAGAUACGUAUUCCUCAGUGUUUAAUAACAUUGUCACAAAGAAUGUAGACAAUAGCACUGUGGAUCACUACAGAAAACAAAACCGAACACAUAUAAAAGCUAAUGAAAGUGCAAAUAUUGAAAACUCCUACCAGUACAAACAAAUGUUUACUGAUAUGCAUAACUUCAAACACGCGGGGAAGAACAGUCGCAAAUCACAAUAUAAUUCAAUUUUAAAAGGACCAUCUCAAUGUUUCGAAUGGUGACGUAUAUCUAACCCGUCAAGACCCUUUAGUAAAUGUGACGUCAUUUAAUUCUAACAAAGGAGAACAAUAUGAUUUAAUUAACAAACAGUUCUUUAUUCAUAACAGAAAUGUUAAGGAUAUCAACUGCCACGGGAUCAUCGAUGGAAGGGAUCUGGAAAUUAAUCGAGCUUUAUCCAUUAACGUUAAAGACAUACCUCUGUUGGCACCUAAACAUUACAUAGAAAUAACUAAGAACUGUACUUCUUUUAUCAACGACAGAGGAUAUAUCACACAUCAUCUGACGGAAGAAGAGAGAAACUUUCCUAUUGCCUACAGCAUUCUUAUGUAUAAAAAUGCAGAACAAGCUGAAAGACUUUUACGAGCAAUAUACAGACCACAAAAUAUUUAUUGUAUACAUGUGGACUCUAAGACAAAUGAUAUGAUUUAUAUGGCAAUGUCAAGCAUUGCAAACUGUUUCCAAAACGUGUUCUUAUUAAAUGCGAGAGUCAACGUUAAAUGGGGUAAAAUAUCUGUAUUGGAACCCGAGCUUCUGUGUAUGGAACAAUUAUGGAGGAGAGACAAAAAAUGGAAGUAUUUCAUAAAUCUGACGGGACAAGAAUUUCCACUGAAAACCAAUUAUGAGCUAGUGCAGAUUUUAAAGGCAUACAAUGGGUCCAAUGACGUAGAAUCGACUGUAACUAAACAUACAGAUAGAUGUAAGCCAAAAAAUGGUAUAUUCUGCACCGCACGAAAUUAGAGUUACGAAAGGGGCCGUGCAUGUGGCAGUAAGCAGAGGCUUUGUUGAUUACAGUUUACAUGACCCAAGAGCACGUGACAUUUUGGCAUGGAUGGAGAAGUCUUGUUUAAUACCUGACGAGGCGUAUUUCACAACACUGAACCAUAAUCAACAUCUGGGAGUUCCGGGCUCUUAUAAAGGACACCCGGAAACUACUCGGAUAUCGGACGGAAGAAAACCGUAUCUAGCACGUUUCAAGAACAGGCUAAAAUCAAAAUUACACCACUGGACUUGUUAUGGAAAAUGGGUUAGAGAAAUGUGUAUCUUUGCAAUCCGAGAUCUACCUCUGCUGUCGACACGAAAAGAGCUCUUUGCGAAUAAGUUUCAUUUAGAAAGGAACCUUUGACUUUCGGGUGCCUCGAGGAACUCAUUUUCAAUCGUACACGUGACGAAUACCAAGGAAAACAAAUGUUUGAUGCAAGCUGGUACUCUACCUUAGGUUUUGUGUCUGACAAGGUUGAAUGAUAUCAUUUCCUGCAACUCAUAUAUAAAGACUGGAACCCGCCCGCUUAACUCGGGGAGACUUAGG
rnacentral:lncRNA from 1 species